UGGGGAAUAUUGCACAAUGGGCGCAAGCCUGAUGCAGCCAUGCCGCGUGUGUGAAGAAGGCCUUCGGGUUGUAAAGCACUUUCAGCGGGGAGGAAGGCGUUAAGGUUAAUAACCUUGGCGAUUGACGUUACCCGCAGAAGAAGCACCGGCUAACUCCGUGCCAGCAGCCGCGGUAAUACGGAGGGUGCAAGCAUUAAUCGGAAUUACUGGGCGUAAAGCGCACGCAGGCGGUUUGUUAAGUCAGAUGUGAAAUCCCCGGGCUCAACCUGGGAACUGCAUCUGAUACUGGCAAGCUUGAGUCUCGUAGAGGGGGGUAGAAUUCCAGGUGUAGCGAUGAAAUGCGUAGAGAUCUGGAGGAAUACCGGUGGCGAAGGCGGCCCCCUGGACAAAGACUGACGCUCAGGUGCGAAAGCGUGGGGAGCAAACAGG
rnacentral:rRNA from 1 species